GGCGGCAUAGCUCAGCUGGCUAGAGCGUUCGGUUCAUACCCGAAAGGUCAUUGGUUCGAUCCCUAUUGCCGCUA
rfam:Peptostreptococcaceae bacterium CCRI-22567 contig-3, whole genome shotgun sequence.